rnacentral:rRNA from 1 species
UAGGGAAUCUUGGUCAAUAGGCGAAAGCCUGAACCAGCCAUGCCGCGUGCAGGAUGAAGGCCCUACGGGUCGUAAACUGCUUUUAUUCGGGAAGAAAAAGUCUGUGUCUACAGGCCUUGACGGUACCGAAUGAAUAAGGACCGGCCAACUCCGUGCCAGCAGCCGCGGUAAUACGGAGGGUCCAAGCGUUAUCCGGAUUCACUGGGUUUAAAGGGUGCGCAGGCGGCCGGGUAAGUCAGUGGUGAAAGCCUUCGGCUCAACCGGAGAAUUGCCAUUGAAACUACCCGGCUUGAGUGCAGUGGAGGUGGGCGGAAUGUAGCAUGUAGCGGUGAAAUGCAUAGAUAUGCUACAGAACACCGAUAGCGAAAGCAGCUCACCAUACUGCAACUGACGCUGAGGCACGAAAGCAUGGGUAGCAAACA